rnacentral:lncRNA from 1 species
GAAGGAUCACAAGUUCAAAAGCCAGCCUCACUGGGGAUGUGGCUCCGUAGUCAAGUGCCCCGAGUUCAAUCCUUGGUAUACUCCCCCCAAAAAAAAAGUUGGGGAGGGGCUUAAAAUUUUAUUAAAACACCUAUUGCUGGGCUGGGGGUGUAGCUGUAGCAUGUGUGAGACCCUGGGCUUAAUUCCUAGCACCCCAAACAACCUACUUCUGGAGGCUGUGCUUGAAUCAGUGGCCUCCUACAUCACAUCUGUUUGUUGUAAUUGGUAAUUUUUUACUAUACUAUAAUCAUGGUAUUUAGGAUAACAGAAGUACAAUUCAGAUCCUUAGCCAUCAAAUUUUAUAGUUCUAUAUAGUAUGACAGGAAAAUAAAUAUAUCUGAAUAUUAAAGUUUUUUUCUGGCUCCUGACUAUAAUAUUAAUUCAAUAUCUUUUAUAGCACACAUCUCACAAAGAGCAGAGAACAAGAUGACCAAGUAGACGGGUUCAGCACUUGCCUCCUCCACAAAGAAAAGCCAAAUUAACAGAUGUAUAGCUGCAUUUUGAGAUGAGUGACCAUGGGAGAAUACUGGGAAUCAGCAAGAGAAAGACAAGAACAGCAGCAAAGAAAGAAAAAAAUACCAUAGCAUGUUCCACCUUGGCUCCACAGCUGGGGAGAGGGGAGGUAGAUAAGGGCAAAAAACUGAUGCUAGCAAUCCUACGUAUUGGAAAGUUUCACAAUCUUCACAGACUUGCAGCCCACUUAGAUAAGUAACCUGCAAUCUGCACAGUAUUGUGGCUUUGGAAAAGGACUUCACAUCUAGCAAACCACCCAGGGUGCUGGAGCCAGGAACCAUCUUAAAAAGGGAAAUAGUAUCUAAAUUUAAACAGCCCUAGGAGCCAGGAGGAAGCUGCCUCGUGAAUCCAAUUUGGUCCAGCAGAGUGACAGCAACCCAAGGCCACUGGGUGCUCUGCAGAAUUGGAGACACGUUGUAGGAGGAAAACAGAGGACACGGCCCUUAAGAAUCAGAAGACCAGGACUGGGGUUGUCGCUCAGUGGUACAGCGCUUGCCUGGCAUGUGUGAGGCCCUGUGUUCGAUCCUCAGCACCACAUAUGAAUAAAUAAAAGAUCCAUUGACAACUAAAAAAAUAUUAAAAAUCAUGAGACCAGGGAACUUGCCCUGCGAGACCAGGUGUGGCCAGCCCUAUGUGAACUCAUCCCAGUGCCAGGACUGAGGGCAAAGAUCCAUGGGUUCCUCCUGCCUUUCGGCUCCCAGCUCAGGAGCCUAUUACUAAAAGGGAAGGAAGGAAACACCGACUCCCAUUACUGCCCAAGGGCAAGGAGAAGCCCCUGAGCAACUGUGCCUUCUGCUGUCUCCCUGCCCACAGGUGCACACAGGGGGCUCCAAGGGAACUUUGCUUAGUUCUGGUUGAGGUCUUGUUCCAGGUCAAGCACUGCCAUGCAAGCAGCAGAGAUAAGCACUGCUGCCACCCUACAUAUGUGGUUCCCAUCACAGUCCUACCUAAGCAUUUUGUCUGACCAUACACUGCUGCAAACUGGGUGUCACUGUCACUGAAGGGGUGCUGAAGUAACCAACACUGCCUCUCCCUUUUCAACAUCUGGGCCCAUACAGUGGUAAUAACCCUCCCAGAAUAAAGGACUCUCCUAAGAUAAAGGACAAGGCAACACGGCACAGUGAAUAUCUGUGCGCAUGUGUAACUGUUGCAACUUUGCAACUCUAUAGCCUAGGAUACCUAAUCAAACUGUGUUACCUAUGUGGGAGACUAAGGAGGGGCUAACAAGUCAAAGAAACUAAGAAAGGGUAUAUAAGGCAAUGCCCCAGCUGUGCUUGGGGCUCAGCCUUUGGAUGCAAAUCUGCUGAGCCAGUGCCAGCCCUAAUAAACACUGCUUCCUGCUAAAAGCCUUGCUGUCCUGUUUCUCUGUGCAAGAAUCCUGCAACAUUUCUUGAGGGUUUGUGUUUUGGGAUUCAGAGCUUGACUUCACCUCCCUUGUCACCAGAGUGCAGGCCCUGGGAUGCCAGAAGUGACCUCAUCUGGCACCAGCAGACUAAUGGAUCCAUAGGAGACUAGCCCUCUUGGCAUGCCAGGGCGAAGACCCCAGGAUACAAAGGAACACCAUAGGGUCCAGGAACCAGUGCAGGGAGCACCUACUGCCCUUUGGACAGGUAGAAACCCAGGUUCAAGAGGUAGACCUACCCCUAAGUGGCAGAAGGGGAGCCUGAUCACUUCCUAGAGUUGCCCUAAGUAGUCUUGAUAGCACAAGAUGAAGCCAC